rnacentral:rRNA from 1 species
AUUGAACGCUGGCGGCAGGCCUAACACAUGCAAGUCGAGCGGUUGAAGGGAGCUUGCUCCUGGAUUCAGCGGCGGACGGGUGAGUAAUGCCUAGGAAUCUGCCUGGUAGUGGGGGAUAACGUCCGGAAACGGGCGCUAAUACCGCAUACGUCCUGAGGGAGAAAGUGGGGGAUCUUCGGACCUCACGCUAUCAGAUGAGCCUAGGUCGGAUUAGCUAGUUGGUGGGGUAAAGGCCUACCAAGGCGACGAUCCGUAACUGGUCUGAGAGGAUGAUCAGCCACACUGGAACUGAGACACGGUCCAGACUCCUACGGGAGGCAGCAGUGGGGAAUAUUGGACAAUGGGCGAAAGCCUGAUCCAGCCAUGCCGCGUGUGUGAAGAAGGUCUUCGGAUUGUAAAGCACUUUAAGUUGGGAGGAAGGGCAGUAAGUUAAUACCUUGCUGUUUUGACGUUACCAACAGAAUAAGCACCGGCUAACUUCGUG